GCGUAUGGUAGGAUGUAUGAUAGGGUGUAUGAUAGGGUGUAUGGUAGGGUGUAUGAUAGGGUGUAUGAUAGGGUGUAUGAUAGGGUGUAUGGAUGCGUAUGGUAGGGUUAAUGAUAGUCAUGACAAUACACACCUUUUUAAAAACAUUACUUUUUUCUGUUUUCAUCACUCUUCUUUUCUUUAAAUUGACUGUAUGAACAGACGCAGCCUCAAAUCCUUGAUCAACAAUGCUACAAGCAACCAAUAGAGCUGAGGUCAAAGGUCAGAACAGCAACACUCAGACAAUAGAUGAGGCAAAUACUCCUGUGACCCGGACACAGGCAGAGAGGAGAAGGUGGAGCAGCAUCUAGGGCUGUGAAAGAAAUGAGGCAGUUGGGAGAAAGGGUUAUGAAUGUUGAAUCUCUGGCUGUUACCUUAUCCACAUUCAUCUUCUGUACAGUUCAACAAUGACAAAUAUUAAUGAUUAACCUUCCUUUUUUGGUUCUGUUUCAAUUUACCUCCUCUCUACUCGUACCCCUUAAUAUAUUUAUCUUCCAUCCCUAAAUGGAUCGUUGAUGCAGUCCUAUUUAGAGCUGAGACAAUUAUGGGAUUAAUUGAUUGAAACUAUUGUUUAGUACAUUAUAGUAAGUUGAAUGAUUUUAGUUUGAGAAUUUGGUGAAACAAAAAAGACAUUUGAUUGAGCUUUAGUCUGAUGGGCAGCAUGUAUCAUUUUUUAUCAUUUUGUUGACCAAAUCGUCGUCAAAUCAUGAAUGAAAAUAAUCAGUUGCAGGCAUACAUUCCUCUAACUCUCACUCAUUCAUUUCUGCAGUCGGAAUAGUAAUGUAAUUACAAUAAGAUUUAUUAUUAUAGCACUUUUUAAUUUAGGGUUGCACCUCUCCAACUGAUUCAAUCCUGUUCAACCAAUACCUUUGACUUUCUAAUUAAAAGGCUUAUGCUUGUCUGGAAGUGAGUGGGAUCAUUAUUUAAUGCGUGAGGACAUCAGGCUUGACUUAAACUAUUAUCACCCUGUAAAACAAAAUGCAAAAAAUAAUAAUAAAUCAAUCAAUAAAUUGACCGGUAACCGGUAAAAACGCCAAUUCAAAUUCAUGGUUUGAUGUGUAUUUAAAAUCUUCCUCAAUAGCUUAUCCAUCUUCAUUGGUAAAAGUAUUACCUUCCUUUUGAUUGAAGACAGCCACAUUUCCAGCAACUGAAGACUGGAGACAGAGUAUAAGGAAGUGCAGGAAUCAGGGACAGAAAUAGAAGCCGCAUGGUGUCGUCUGCCUAAAAGCGAAAGAGAAGUUACUUGUGAUAACCUGGAGUGAGCUGGGAUUUCACUAUGAGGACGAUAGUCACGUCAUUUUAAUAAAAAGAUACGGCCAAACCAACAGCACAAUAAAUGUAACUCGUGGCUUCACUUUGAAGUCCACUGGUCUGCUGGCAGCACACCUCGAGGUGAAUAAGAUAUUCUGUUGUUUACUACGGACUGAUCUUGUCCUGUGUUUCUUUUUGUUUUCGCCUUCUGUUGGUAGUUGGAUUUAGUGGGUUUUUUCUGUCAAAUUUUAAAUUGAAAUUUGCUUCAUUUACAUGAUUGCAAAUACGCUGUACGGCCAAAUGUAAAUGAACGCAACUGUCUAUUUAUUUUUGUGUACCUAUUUUGGGGAUUCACUUGAUUAUUUGGGCCGAACAGGUUUAGAAAGAAACCAACAAAUUAACUCCUACAAACCGCUGCUACAGCUUCUGUGUCCACUUAAAUUGUCGCUGGUGGGACGAAGCCGUUGGCCACUGCUGAUUGGAAGGACCAAGCGAAACAACCCCUGCAGCGAGGUUCCAGGCUGAUUAAUGACACCUUCAGCUCUAGCACAUAUUGGUGUAAUGUUUGGGGGGGUUUGGACGUAUGCAC
ensembl:lncRNA